rnacentral:rRNA from 1 species
AAUGAACGCUGGCGGCAUGCCUUACACAUGCAAGUCGAACGGCAGCAUGACCUCGCUUGCUAGGUUGAUGGCGAGUGGCGAACGGGUGAGUAAUGCAUCGGAACGUGCCUUUUAGUGGGGGAUAACGUAGCGAAAGUUACGCUAAUACCGCAUAUUCUCUGAGGAGGAAAGCAGGGGACCUUCGGGCCUUGCGCUAGAAGAGCGGCCGAUGUCGGAUUAGCUAGUUGGUGAGGUAAAGGCUCACCAAGGCAACGAUCCGUAGCGGGUCUGAGAGGAUGAUCCGCCACACUGGGACUGAGACACGGCCCAGACUCCUACGGGAGGCAGCAGUGGGGAAUUUUGGACAAUGGGCGCAAGCCUGAUCCAGCCAUGCCGCGUGAGUGAAGAAGGCCUUCGGGUUGUAAAGCUCUUUCGGCUGGGAAGAAAUCGCACCCUCUAAUACAGGGUGUGGAUGACGGUACCAGCAUAAGAAGCACCGGCUAACUACGUG